UGGCCUGCCCAAUGAUAAAUUAAUAAAUUAUUUAAUGGCCGCGGUAUUUAUGACCGUGCAAAGGUAGCAUAAUCAUUAGUCUUUUAAUUGAAGGCUUGUAUGAAUGGUUGGACAAAAGGAAGACUGUCUAUUUUUAAUAAAAAUUGAAUUUAACUUUUAAGUGAAAAGGCUUAAAUAAUUCAGAGGGACGAUAAGACCCUAUAAAACUUUAUAAAAAAAAAGAUUAGUUAAGUUUUUAUUUAAAGAUGAAUAUUUUAUUUUAAUUGAGUUGGGGCAACUAUGGUAUAAUUAUUAUUAACUGCUUUUUAUUAUAAACAAAUAUAUUUGAAUUUAAAUUUAAAUGGUCCUUUAUUAAAGAUUUUAAGAUUAAGUUACUUUAGGGAUAACAGCGUUAUUUUUUUUAAGAGUCCGUAUUGAAAAAAGAGUUUGCGACCUCGAUGUUGAAUUAAAAUUUCUAUAUAGUGCAGUUAUUAUAUAAGAGGGUCUGU
rnacentral:rRNA from 1 species